rnacentral:rRNA from 1 species
AUUCCGGUUGAUCCUGCCGGAGGCCAUUGCUAUUGGGAUCCGAUUUAGCCAUGCUAGUCGUACGAGUUCAGACUCGUGGCGAAUAGCUCAGUAACACGUGGCCAAACUACCCUUCGGAACACAAUACCCUCGGGAAACUGAGGCUAAUAGUGUAUACCACAUCACCACUGGAAUGAGUGAUGUGCCAAACGCUCCGGCGCCGAAGGAUGUGGCUGCGGCCGAUUAGGUAGACGGUGGGGUAACGGCCCACCGUGCCAAUAAUCGGUAUGGGUCAUGAGAGUGAGAACCCAGAGACGGAAUCUGAGACAAGAUUCCGGGCCCUACGGGGCGCAGCAGGCGCGAAACCUUUACACUGCACGACAGUGCGAUAGGGGGAUCCCAAGUGCACAGGCAUAGCGCCUGUGCUUUUCGGUACCGUAAGGUGGUACCAGAAUAAGGGCUGGGCAAGACCGGUGCCAGCCGCCGCGGUAAUACCGGCAGCCCAAGUGAUGGCCGAUCUUAUUGGGCCUAAAGCGUCCGUAGCUGGCCGCGCAAGUCCAUCGGGAAAUCCACCUGCUCAACAGGUGGGCGCCCGGUAGAAACUGCGUGGCUUGGGACCGGAAGGCGCGACGGGUACGUCCGGGGUAGGAGUGAAAUCCCGUAAUCCUGGACGGACCGCCGAUGGCGAAAGCACGUCGCGAGGACGGAUCCGACAGUGAGGGACGAAAGCCAGGGUCUCGAACCGGAUUAGAUACCCGGGUAGUCCUGGCCGUAAACAAUGUCUGCUAGGUGUGGCUCCCACUACGAGUGGGUGCUGUGCCGUAGGGAAGCCGCUAAGCAGACCGCCUGGGAAGUACGUCCGCAAGGAUGAAACUUAAAGGAAUUGGCGGGGGAGCACUACAACCGGAGGAGCCUGCGGUUUAAUUGGACUCAACGCCGGACAUCUCACCAGCAUCGACUGUAAUAAUGACGACCAGGUUGAUGACCUUGUCCGAGUUUCAGAGAGGAGGUGCAUGGCCGCCGUCAGCUCGUACCGUGAGGCGUCCUGUUAAGUCAGGCAACGAGCGAGACCCGCACCCUUACUUGCCAGCAGUACCGCGAGGUAGCUGGGGACAGUAGGAGGACCGCCGUGGCUAACACGGAGGAAGGAACGGGCAACGGUAGGUCAGUAUGCCCCGAAUGUGCUGGGCAACACGCGGGCUACAAUGGUCGAGACAAAGGGUUCCUACUCCGAAAGGAGACGGUAAUCUCAGAAACUCGAUCGUAGUUCGGAUUGUGGGCUGCAACUCGCCCACAUGAAGCUGGAUUCGGUAGUAAUCGCGUGUCACAAGCGCGCGGUGAAUACGUCCCUGCUCCUUGCACACACCGCCCGUCAAAGCACCCGAGUGAGGUCCGGAUGAGGCGUUCCACGAACGUCGAAUCUGGGCUUCGCAAGGGGGCUUAAGUCGUAACAAGGUAGCCGUAGGGGAAUCUGCGGCUGGAUCACCUCCU